rnacentral:rRNA from 1 species
AACACCAGUGGCGAAGGCGACGAUCUGGCCUGCAACUGACGCUCAGUCCCGAAAGCGUGGGGAGCAAAUAGGAUUAGAUACCCUAGUAGUCCACGCCGUAAACGAUGAGUACUAAGUGUUGGAUGUCAAAGUUCAGUGCUGCAGUUAACGCAAUAAGUACUCCGCCUGAGUAGUACGUUCGCAAGAAUGAAACUCAAAGGAAUUGACGGGGGCCCGCACAAGCGGUGGAGCAUGUGGUUUAAUUCGAAGCAACGCGAAGAACCUUACCAAGUCUUGACAUACUCAUAAAGGCUCCAGAGAUGGAUUGGUGCCUUCGGGAACUGUGAGACAGGUGGUGCAUGGUUGUCGUCAGCUCGUGUCGUGAGAUGUUGGGUUAAGUCCCGCAACGAGCGCAACCCUUAUCGUUAGUUACCAUCAUUAAGUUGGGGACUCUAGCGAGACUGCCAGUGACAAGCUGGAGGAAGGCGGGGAUGACGUCAAAUCAUCAUGCCCCUUAUGACCUGGGCUACACACGUGCUACAAUGGAUGGUGCAGAGGGAAGCGAAGCCGCGAGGUGAAGCAAAACCCAUAAAACCAUUCUCAGUUCGGAUUGUAGUCUGCAACUCGACUACAUGAAGUUGGAAUCGCUAGUAAUCGCGAAUCAGCAUGUCGCGGUGAAUACGUUCUCGGGCCUUGUACACACCGCCCGUCACACCACGAGAGUUGAUAACACCCGAAGCCGGUGGCCUAACCGCAAGGAAGGAGCUGUCUAAGGUGGGAUUGAUGAUUGGGGUGAAGUCGUAACAAGGUAUCCCUACGGGAACGUGGGGAUG